CCAGAACAACCCCCCAUGUUUGCACCUUCAUUUCUACCCUGUACUAAAAUCAACCAAUCUUUUUUAAGGCCAGACAUGAUUUCCUAACUUCUCAAUAGAGUAAUAUAGAUCCAACAUCACAAUAUAGUUAGAAAUGUUGAGCUCAUUCUUUCAAUUACCAUCCCAUGAGUUUCAAUAUACAAGUAUGUAUAGAAUGCGCAAAUGAGCUAACAAUUAUAAGUUGGGGUAGAGCCUUACCUUGGAUAUCUCAAUCUAUUAUGUCCCCCCAAUUAAUAUCUUUGUGACCUUCUUUAAAUCACAAAAUAGAAAAGGAACAUUAGCACAAGCAUCAGAUGAAAAUAGACCAACAACCCAAGCUUGUGACAUAAAAUUCUUACCUUAAUCUUUGAAAGAUAAUUGUAGCACCUUGGCUACUAACACAUAUAUAUUCACUCCCCUUAAAUAACUUUCUAAUGUAUUCAAAACUAAGGAGAAGAGAAGGUGAUCAUGGGCUGCUUUACAGAAAAUAUUUUGAAGAACACUUAGAACCCUAAUGAAAAAUAGGGAGGUUUUUUUAAGGAUAGAAUAGAGAGAUCAAAAGACUUGAGAGAAAUUGAAUUUGAUGAUAAAAGUGAGAGUUUAUUGAUAAUUUUUUGACAUUUAAAGGACUUACUUUGCUGGCUCAUUCUCUUCUUUAUUUCCAGCCACCAUUUGGCUCUAAUUUGGACCAUAAAUACUAAGUAGGUGAUGCACCUACUUUGGCCAUUUAAGCUGGUCAAAAGUACGAGUAGGUGAUACACCUGCUAGGACAUUUUUAAGUAACUCUUUCUGGGCUUGGAAAGAUUGGGACUAGGGCUUCCAUUCUCCUUAUUUUCUUUUAGUUAAUUUGGGCCUCAAAUAAGUCCAUCAAUAUAGGCUUAGAUUUGGUCGAUUAGUCUAAGUAGGUGAUACAUCUACUUGUCACCUACUAGCUUAAUAAAGUCAAGCAAGAACCUCAUUUAUUUUAUCCUAUAUUUCCAACAUCUUAAUCCUUCUACUCUAUCUUAACACUUAACUCUGAUUUUAAGCUUAUAUACCUCCUUACAAUCUCAAGUUUAAAUAUUUUGUCAGUGAUAAGUUGGUUGUGUAUGUUUAGAAAUAUACGGGGCAUUCCAUUAUCCCCCUUUGGAUCAUUCGUCCUCGAAUGAAAAGUAUAGCUAAUGGAUUGAUUAACCCUAGAAUUUUUCAUAAAAAUGUGCUAGAGUUUUCUUUGUAAAUAGGACUGCACCAAAUAUGUUGGAUAACAAGAAUCACGUAUAGAGCCUCAUAGGGCAUCUCAAUAGAUAUAAUACAAAAAAUGAGAAUAUGAUAAAUAAACCUCCUCUCUUGGCCAUGUAUUUUGGUGAAGGUCAUUUCAGUUUAGAGCAACUUGUUCUAUAUUUCGUUCACCCACAAUCACUUUACUGGAGGCUAUAUCCCACAAAUAAUCGGAAGCUGUAUCUUUUGUCCUUAACUUCUUGACCUAACAACUAAAAAAUAGCUAUGGGGACUUAUUUGAAUAAUAGGUCCUUGUUCCUUUACUAUCCUUAAGGGGUACAAUGAAGAAUGGAUCUCCCACAAAUUUCUAUAAAAUGGAAACACAAGGGCUUAACUUCCCCUAAUUACUAUCUUUGUGACCUUCUCUAAAUCAUAAAAUAGGAAAGGAACAUUAGCACAAGCAUCAGACGAAAAUAGACCAACAACCUAAGCUUGUGACAUGAAAUUCUUACCUUAAUCUUUGAAAGAUAAUUGCAGAACCUUGGCUUCCAACACCUAUAUAUUCACUCCCCAUGAAUAACUUUCUAAUAUAUUCGAAACUAAGGAGAAGAUAAGGUGAUCUUAUGGGCUGCUUUACGGAAAACAUUUUGAAGAACACUUAGAACCCUAAUGAAAAAUAGGGAGGUUGUUUUAAUGAUAGAAGAGAGAGAUCAAAAGACUUGAGAGAAAUUGAAUUUGAUGAGAAAAAUAAAAGUUUAUUGAUAAUUUUUUGGCCUUUAAAGGCAUUACUUGGCUGGAUCAUUCUCCUCUUUAUUUCCAUCCACCAUUUGGCUCUAAUUUGGACCAUAAAUACUAAGCAGGUGAUGCACCUACUUUGGCCAUUUAAGCUGGUCAAAAGUCCAAGUAGGUGAUGCACCUGCUAGGAAAUUUUUAAGUAAAUCUUUGUGGGUUUGGAAAGAUUGGGACUAGGGCUUUCAUUCUCCUUAUUGUCUUUUAGUUAAUUUGGGCCUCAAAUAAGUCCAUCAAUAUAGGCUUAGAUUUGGUCGAUUAGUCUAAGUAGGUGAUACAUCUACUUGUCACCUAAGCAAGCACCUCAUUUAUUUUAUCCUAUAUUUCCAAUAUCUUAAUCCCUCUACUCUAUCUUAACACUUAACUCUGAUUUUAAGUUAACUCUUAACAUUUACAAUCUCAAGUUUAAAAAUUUUGUCAGUGAUAAGUUGGUUGUGUAUGUUUGGAAAUAUACGGGGCAUUACAUCAUCCCCCUUUGGAUCAUUCGUCCUCGAAUGAAAAGUAUAGCUAAUGGAUUGAUUAACCCUAGAAUUUCCCACAAAAAUGUGCUACAAUUUUCUUUGUAAAUAGGACUGCACCAAAUAUGUUGGAUAACUAGAAUCACGUAUAGAGCCUCAUAGGGCAUCUCAAUAGAUAUAAUACAAGAAAUGAGAAUACGAUAAAUAAACCUUCUCUCUUGGCCAUGUAUUUUGGUGUAGGUCAUUUCAGUUUAGCAUAAUCUUCCUCAUUUUCUUCUUUAGACAAGUAAAAUACAUAGAAUUAAGGAAUUUAAGCAUAAAUCAAUACCUAAAUGUAUGAUAUCUGAGUGACAUAUCAAAUAAGCAAAUACUUAUGAAAUAUGUGAUCAUAUAAGGGAAGUACAUGUUUUAAAAUCCUCCGAUUGAUGUUUGUAAUAAGGAUAGGUAUUUAGGAUUCUUAUCAUCUUUUACUUUCUAAGCAACUUGUUCUAUAUUUCGGUUCACCCAUAAUCACUUUACUGGAGGCUAUAUCCCACAAAUAAUCGAAGGCUAUAUCUUUUGUCCUUAACUUCCUGACCUAACAAUUAAAAAAUGGCUAUGGGGACUUAUUUGAAUAAUAGGUCCUUGGUCCUUUACUAUCCUUAAGGGGUACAAUGAAUAAUGGAUCUCUCACAAAUUUCUCCCAAAAAAUCAUAAGACUUUCUAGACAAUUCACUGUAUAAUUUAUAAGUCCUGAUAUACUGAGGGCUUAACUUCCCUUAUUUCAUAAAUUUUAUGAUACUUUUCACAGGUGAUUCUUAUAAGAACAUAUAUCUGUUAAUUUGAACUCUAAGUAUUGUGUUGCACUCUUGGGUAGGCGUUAUGCUAAGCCAUUGUAUAGGGUUAUACUAAAAUUCACAUAUAUGCUCAAGAUUUUCUGACCACAAUCCUCAUUUCAUCAAGAUACAAGGAAACUUUAUCCCAACAAUUUCAAUACUUUGAUCAAUAAGCACAAAAAGGCAUAUAACAUAUGGACAAAUAUGUCACAUAAAGUCUAUGAUAUAUAAUUAAAUUAUUAGCACAAAAGGGGCACUUAACCUAUGAACUUAUGAACCUAAGAAGUAAGCAACAUAUUUGCAAUUGAGCUAUAAAAAUAUGUGAAUUAUGUCGAAGUAAGCUAUGAAAACAUGUAUUAGGUUGCACAUACAAACUAUAAAGUAGGAUGUAAGAAAAUGAAAUAUAAGACAUGUAGCAUGUGGUCGGAUAUAUUAUAAGUACAAUAGUAUGCGAGCAGUUGAGAUAACUCAUGGAACAAAUGAUGCAAAUAAUGUACAAAUACACUAUGAAAUCAUAUAUCCAUAUAAACAGGUAGACUAUAAAACAUGAAGCUAUACAAGAAAGAGAACUAUGAAAUCAAAAUCACAUUGAGCAAGUGGACUAUAUCGCAUGGAUAAGUAGACUAAUAUGUCAAUAGGUACACGUAUGGAAUAUGAGAAAAUGUGCACAUAGACAGAUAACUAACUAUCAGGCUUAUAAUUAUUAAGCAAGUAGGCUACGAGGCACGUAACAUAUAAGGAAAUGGUCUAUGAAGCAUAUAACCAUAGACAAGUGAUCUGCGGCAAGUAACCCAUGUGAUAUACAAUAUAUAGGAAAAGGUAUUAUAAAAUAUAUGGAAAUAAGUAAGGGUUCUAUGAAAGGGCUAACACCUACAUGUAAGUGUUCUACGACACACGUAACAAAUAAGAAAAUAAUCCACUAAGGGCAAAUGACAAGCGAAUAUAAGUUAUGGAACAUGUAGCAUGUAUAUUAUGUACCAAACUAACCUCUAGAAACUAGGAGUCAUCUUAUUAAAUCGUUUUGCCACAUUAAGUGCAAGCAUACGAUCACUAACGUUAAAUAAUAAGUGGGAUAAUUCUGCUCAUGUUCUUUACUCACCUUAAAACACAUGAAAUUGGUUUCCCUAUAUUAUCUUUCUAACCUCCUAUGAAUUCUCUUUAUCGACGUUUCCUUCUGAUUCAAUGUAAAUACUAGGUCCAUGAUAGAAAAAAAUCCUUAACAGUUCAUUUUUAUGAGUAGGAGGUCAAGGUCAACCUUAUCUUUGCUACUGACCUAGAACAUCAUUACAACCAAUGUUUGGUACCAUAUAAAAGUUCAAAUAAGCAAGUUACUAAUGAAAUUUAAAGGCACUAUUGCAUAUAAACACUUAUUUACAACAAGUCAAACAUAAAUGUCAAGUACUUGCAAAAUUAUAUCAUAAUUCUAAAACAUCUGUCGUUUAGUCACUUUGGGCUUAACUAGAUGGGCCAAUCCAUGGUAACUAAUUUUUCCAUAACAAGUGAGGACUAAAAAAUCUUGUAUCUUAACAUGUGAUGGCAAUCCAAUACCUUUAAUCGAGUAAUUUAAAUAAGCUAUGCAUCAAGGGAAUUGCUAUAUCAGGGAGUCAAGUGAACAAACGGUACUUUAUACUUCACAUCAAUUUUAACAACCAUCAGAACUCUAUGCAUAUGCAUAACAAACUAUCUCUUAUUUUAAUAGGGAUAAUACAGAUGCAUCCUUAAAUGAUAGGUUAGGUCAAGUGUAUAUCUUCUUAUCACCCCUCUAUUCUUGCAUUUAAUAAGACUAGGCAUCAAAAUAUGCAUUCAUAUUGAGUUAGAAUGUCACUCUUACCUACUUUGAUGUCUAACUAAUACCUUUUUAAUCAAAAUUACUAGCUUCGUGUAUUCUAAUUCCACUACAAUUAGCCUAGCUAAUCACAACUUAGGUCUAACUAGUCAAUAUUCCUUUUUCAACCUUAAGGUGUAGUCGUAUACUAAUCCUCUAUAUCCUAAACAUAGAACCGUAGGAACCAAGUGUACAUAAACUUUUAUAUAAAAUAAUUGGAAAUUCUCAUCCUAGAGUUUUCUAACCACAAAAUAGAUUGCAUGUUAUUAUUACCUAUUCGGGGUGGUCAUACACACAUACCUUAUAAAAAGAUAAAUACUAAAAUCUAGAAUGAUAUCUAGUUGGUGUUUGGUCCUUAUCAACUAACUAGGGGUAUCCCUAGUAAUGUUAUCAUAUUGAAAGGUUCACCUUUUAGACUAUGCUACUAGCCUCUUUCAAUUAAUACAAAACUAGUUUAACAGAUUCUAUUUUCAAAAUGAGUGUAACUCUAAAACCCUAUAUGUUUACUAUUAAGGUACUAAAUGUCCUCCGUAAGAUUAAAUCCUAUAUAUUAAAGGACUCGUGUGGAGGAAAUCUCAGACCCAAGAACCAUUCACAUCCUUUUAAGAAGCGCACUAAGAAAUGUUUGCAACCCUUCUUUAUGACUAGUUAACCAUUUAUAAUACAAAAAAAUUAAUAACCCUAUUAUAUCUUGCUCAAAUGAACCAAGACAAUACAAAUACUACAAAUGCAGCCUUAUGUGCAAGUAACACAAAAACCAUUGCACUAUUGUAGGCCGUGAGGGUCGGACUAAAUUGGCUUACCCUAAUAUGAAUUUUAAUGACUUGAGAGACUUCUUUAUAGGUUGCCUCUUAGGCAUUAGUGGUGCUAUCCUUUUUGCCAUCUUUGACCUUAGCUAUAAUAGGCAUUGUAUGAAUAUGAGAGAUCAUAGUACGAGUAGGAAUGGACUCCUUAACACUGCUCUAUCACACGGCAUGAAAUAUAAAGGAAAUUAACAUUUCCUAAAUGUCCAAGUAGCCCCUUAAUUAUUAAUAUGGCGUGCAACACAUUCAUAAGUAAGGCUCUAGUAGACACGACUUUGUAGACUCCCUAGGAUGAACAGUUCUGAUAUCAUUUCUGUCACACCCCAAUUCUGGAUGAGGCAGAUAACAACUAUAGGAACACAUACUAUAAAAAUAACCUACAUGAGAAAAUAAAUCACUAUACAAAUGGAAUUGUUGAUAAGAAGUUGUACCAAUUAGCCAAACCGAUACAAAUGACAUGUAAAUCAAUGAAUACAUAUAACCGCUUUACAAUGUCUACAAAUCCUCUAAUGGAAUCCAUGACUGUUAAACUAUUAAAAAAUAUAUGCUAAAGAUUAGGCAAGACCCCGAAUCAACUUGGAGCUCACCAAUAGCCGUUGAGUAUCCAAUACUUCUAUUAGGGAGAUAUACUAGCUAAGAACCUGUGCCUAUAACAUAGAACGCUAGACCCCAUAUGGGACAUCAGUAUAAAGUAAUGCACUGAAUAUGUAUGGCAUGAGAUAACCAUAAGUGAAAUAAAAGAUCAAUGAAAUUAGGGAUCAAUAUAUAAAUAUAUAGAUAAGGAUGAACGACCACCUUUACUUACACUUGUGGAAAAUUGUACAUUACAUGCUUUUCUUUACUUUAUUAGUUUUUGCUUUAUAAUCUUUGUAAGCCAUGUGAUAUAUAUGAUCAGAUGAUCAGAGGUAAAAUAGGAUGAGCCAUGCUAGGCAUUAUACCCCUGGGGUACGUUCCUCAUUAAUACACAAAUCGGGAUUGACCCAUGCUAGGCUUUCCUUUCACCCCUAGGAUACCACCUGAUAAUGGGAUCAACCAAUGCUAGGUGUUUAUUCCACCCCUGGGAUACCACCCAUAAAUGUAUGUAUUGUGAUUAGCACAUGCUAGGCUUUAGCCCCUGAGCUACCACCUACAUAUAAACAUAUUCACGUUACUUCAUUUCUUAUGUUUGAGAUUGUUAUUUUGGUGGCCAUAAUAUUAUUAAGCUUUGGAACUAUAGACCGGUACUAAGAAAUAUGUGAAUAUGCACUUGAGACAAUAACAAUGAAGUAGCAAGCAUUUUUAAUUGUAAUAGAAAUGUAAUACUUUGGAGCUUAAAUGACACAAUCAGUACUUUGACAUCUCAAAUGAAACAUAGGUGCAAUUCGAGUGAAGGUAUCUAAUUUAAUCUAAGAGAUAGGUUUUCUAGAUAGUGAUGUAAAUAAAUACUUAGUAAACAGUGUCAAAUGAAAGGUACAUGAACAUGAGAACUACUGGAGCGUGUGGAGAAAUUUGACUUAGGUAUAAAUAUAUAUUACAUGUAAGGAGAUGCAAACUAUAGAAUGGAAUGAAUAGGGAUUCUAUGAGGUAACAUUAUAGACUACGGCAAUGGGAAUGAUGCCCAAUGAAGGGGAUAUGUAAAUGUGUGAGAAAAUAAAGUAUAUUAUUAAAUAGACAAUUGAAGCAAGUUGGUAGUAAAUGGGCAGAUUGCAUACCUAACACAUGAGCACACUUACCAUGUGUAAUCUAGGGUCUUAUUUAUAUGUAAAAGAGGAACACAAGUUUGACUGGAAAGUGUAAAUACACAAAUCUAGUAAUAAACACAUAUUUGAAAUGCUUUUGACACGUUUGUGAGAUCAUAGGGAGUAGGAACAAGGUCAUUACUAAUGCUAAAAAUCAUACAUCAUUUCCAUAUAUCCUUUACUAGUGAGAACUCUUAGGAAGCUCACUUUGUUGGUACUAACACUACUAUUAGAUUUCAUGCCAAAGAAGAUGAAAAAGAAUAGCCUUACAUACCUUAUCUUUCGACCAAUGUGACUACGACAAUUCAAUUUUUUCUUUUAAGUGUUACUCUACAAUACAAGGACAUAAUGAAGCUAAUAUUAGAACCUACUCACAUUAUCAUCCUACAAAAAUAGUAGCUAAAUACUUGACGGGCAGUAAGACCAUCCAAACCCCUAAACACAUGGUGUAUCACCAUACCCUUCUUUUGUAAUUCAAUGGAAGCUCCAUUCAACCAUUGUAUAAGGUGACUCACUUCCUCAAAAAAGAAAUACAGAUAAAACAACCUAUAUAUAGUCAUAAAAUCCAUAAACCACCAGAACAACCCCUCAUGUUUGCACCUUUAUUUCUACCCCGUACUAACAUUAACCAAUCUUUUUUAAUGCCAAACAUGAUUUCCUAACUUUUCAAUACAAUAAUACAGGUCUAACAUCACAAUAUAGUUAGAAAAGUUGAGCUCACUAUUUCAAUUACCAUCCCAUGAGUUUCAAUAUACAAGUAUGUCUAGAAUGAGCAAAUGAGCUAAUAAUUAAAAGUUGGGGAAACACCUUACCUUAGAUAUCUUAAUAUGUUAUUUUCCCCCAAUUACUAUCUUUGUGACCUAAUCUAAGUCACAACAUAGGAAAGGAACAUUAGACCAACAACCCAAGCUUAUGACAUAAAAUUCUUACCUUAAUCUUUAAAAGAUAGUGGCAGCACCCUUGCUGCCAAUGCCAAUAUAUUCACUCCCCUUGAAUAACUUUCUAAUAUAUUCGAAACUAAGGAGAAGAAAAGGUGAUCUUAUGGGCUGCUUUACAGAAAAUAUUUUGAAGAACACUUAGAACCCUAAUGAAAAAUACGAAGGUUGUUUUAAGGAUAGAAGAUAGAGAUUUAAAGACUUGAGAGGAAUUGAAUUUGAUGAGAAAAAUAAGACUUUAUUGAUAAUUUUUUGAUCUUUAAAGGCCUCACUUUUCUGGCUCAUUCUCCUCUUUAUUUCCAGCCACCAUUUAGCUCUAAUUUGGACCAUAAUUGCUAAAUAGGUGAUGCACCUACUUUGGCCAUUCAAUAUGGUCAAAAGUCCAAGUGGCUGAUGCACCUACUGGGACAUUUUUAAGUAACUCUUUGUGGUCUUGGAGAGAUUGGGCCUUGGGAUACCAUUCUCUUUAUUUUCUUUUAGUUAAUUUGGGCCUCAAAUAAGUCCAUUAAUAUAGGCUUCAAUUUGGUCAAUUAGUCUAAGUAUGUGAUACAUCUACUUGUCACCUACUAUCUUAAUUAAGUCUAGCAAGAACCUCAUUUAUUUAAUCCUAUAUUUUCUAUAUCUUAAUCCCUCUACUCUAACUUAACACCUAACUCCUAUUUUAAGCUUAUAUACCUCCUUACAAUCUCAAGUUUAAAUAUUUUGUCAGUGAUAAGUUGGUUGUGUAUGUUUGGAAAUAUACAAGGUAUUACAGACAAGUACCAAUGGCAAACCACUACAGCAGUUGACUCUACUACUUUAAGCAAUGGAAAAAGAGAUAGUUGAAGUUUAUGCUUUUGUGCUUUAUACCAUUUUCUUAUCAUAUUUAUGAUUCAUGUUCAACUUGUAUCAAUAGCCACCGCAAAAGAGGAGAUGAGGCAUGAUAUUAAGAAAAUUUGCCCUGGAAUAUCUCUCUGUCAUUGGGACUCAUACAGAAUGUAAUGUUGUUUUUUCACAAUAGAACAAAAAAUGGUUGGUAUUGCUAUACACGCUUCUCUUCUGAUACUGCAUCCCUCUUCUCUUAGAUUAAUACAAGUAAGGAUUAUACUUUUUUCCUCCUACUUCUGCUUCCCUUAGUUAGAUGAUAAAUAAUUAUUUUACUUUCUAUUUCAAGACCUUGAUACCGGUAACAUUGGACCCCAUGUAUGUUGUGGAGAGAGAUACCUAAUUAAAUAAUUGUCCUCUUCAUAAAAUAAACAAACCUGACAUUUUUAGCUUCGUCUUUCACCCUUUUAAGGCCUGACAUAAGAAUGUGUAAAAUUUAAAAUGUUAUAUAUUUGCUUAAUUCUAUUAGGCGGUUUCUCUAUUCGUGCGAUAGUAACAAUAAGUAUACCCUUCUUAUAUAACUAUGUUAAUAAUUAAAUCUAUAGAUUCAAAUAUGCACAUCCAUAUGUUAUAUCUUUUUGGUCUGAAUCUUUUGAUAUCCAUUGUUGGAUUUAUUUGGACGAGGGCCAUGCGCUUCUUGAUGUUUGUAUGUAAGUUUGUGCUUUUGGAGUCUAUUUAUCUGAUGAAUUUCUUUGUUAUAUUCUAUUCAUAAUCACAUGAAAAGAUAUCCUAUCUAUGUUAAUUCUUUUGCACUAGGAUGCAAAUUGUCUGCCACUUUGGCUUUUGUUUUCAUAUGCUACUAACUAUACAAGUUUCUUUAUCUAUUUUUAAGUUAAAAAUUAUAGUUGGUUUGGAUUAAUAAGGUGGUCAACAGUGGAGCGAAAGUAACAGAGAUGGUUAGUUCAGAGGCCCUAUAAGGAUAAAAAAAUAAGAUAAAACUAGCUACUUUAAUCCUCAGUGUCCCUCCUGAACAAGGUUGUUCCUUCACCUUUCUUCACUUUUGCCUUUAUUGGAUGAAGAAAAUAUUUUUGUAUCUCUGUACUAUCAUGCUAGAGUUUGUGCUUUUGCUAGUGUGUAUUGUCAUCAUGUGUCUUGUUUGUGAUCUUGCAAUUCGAGUACUAAUUUGGUUGGAAUAAAAAGAACUCUAGAUUCAAGAGUUGUCAACUUUUUGAACUAGAAUUUGUAGAUUUUCCUUACCACCUUCGCUCAAUAAAAGACAGACGCAUGAUUUUUGACACGAUGCAAGACUGUGAGCAUGAAUGGUAAAGAUGCAAGUAUUUGAUUAUAUUAGGGAAUCUUUUGGAUAACUUAAAGAUCACAAACAAGGAACCUUUGAAAGGUUUUUAUCAACUUAUGUGUUGUUUACUAAGCUUGUAUAUAUAAGUUGUUACUAUUGAAAACUUACCAUGGUGUUAUGUAUGGGUAGGCUUUAUGGGAUGUUUCAAGAAAAAUACCAACAUACAUGUAAAAUUCUAUUAAAAUACUAAUUAGUGUCCUUUUUGAUUUAUGAAUCUUGAUUAGAAAAAAGCCUUCUGAUUUUGGGUUCUUCUUCAUAAAGGUUAUAUGGUAUCACAAAUUAUUAGAUUCAUCAUUGGUAGAGUUGAGAAGGCAGAAGGUAUUAUUUUUUUUCAUUAUCAAUUGUUUGAGGUUAUAGUUUGAUUUUGAUGAACAUGCUUAGUUGAUAACUAUAGAAUAUAUUUGAAAAUUUCCUAGCUUUAAAUUUACUUUUGUCUUUUGUUAAAGAGCCAUGUUUACCUACUCAAGCUUAGGUGAUUUAAGUCUUUUUUUAAUUCUUCUUAGAGUACAUGAAAUUUUGAGAUGUGAUGCAUUCUACAAUGACUUGGUGUUGAAAGAUGAUAUAGAGUAGUACAUAUUUAGCUUUAAUUCUCUUUUGUAUCAUUAGCGUGACAUUUAUUUGUUACAACAACAAGAUUUAUUCAACUCUCAUGAGGGGCCAUGUAAAUCAUGAUAUCCGCACCUAUUAGCAUAUCUUUUGUAGCUUGUCUAUCGUAAAUCUUGUGCCUAAAUCAGUGCAACUAAAUGAUAAAUUUAGGGGCAUGAGGCAUCAAUUUGUGAUUGAUUAAUCUUUGCUAUUAAAAAACAUAUUAUUUUAGCACCAGGUAUAUACCUUGAAGGUAUAUAGAGGAAAGAGAAAAAUGAUACAAGCUGCUGAAGAGAAUGAAAGACCAGAGGAGUUCGAUAUAUUUUGGGGCUAGAAGCGGGCCUAAUGUUGGAAUUAGGAAAAAAUAUUAGGUAUAAAAGAGUAAAUUUUGAUAUUACAGUUUUGUUGAUAUUCACCAGAUGAAUCAUUGUGUUGUCUUUGUGUGUUUCUUGAAGAAUUUGUUUUCACUGGAUUAGACGUUAAUUUCCUCAUUCCACUCUAUUGUUUAGUUUGUUAUACUUUGAUAAAAGUAGUGAAAGCUGAAAAAUGAGGCAAUAUCCCAAAUUGGUAUAUCUAACAUGCAAACAUGAAAGAUGUUCAAAAUUUGCAACAUCGAGCACACAUGAGACAGACUAUAUGUGCAGCUAUAUAUUAAUUAUCCAUCACCACCAAAGAAUUCAUUUUGAAAAAACUCUAAUCUAAAACUUCCUCACUAAAUCACACUUCUCUUGCUCUAAAAGUGUACUUUAAAUAAAGGUACUCUCUAAAAGUAUACUUUAAUUCAGGGUAAAAGAAGUGAUAAAUAAAAAUAAGAGAAAGUAAUAAAUGAAUGUAAUGAUCCCUCAAUUGCUGAAGAAGCUUACUAGAGAAAGAGAGAUGAUGAAGACAUUAACAAUAUUAUCCAAGCUAACAUGCAAUGCAAAAAUGAACAUUCAAAUCCAAGCUUUAUUGAAGAAAGUGAUAAUAUAUAAAAACUUAAAUUUUGAGGAUGCAUACACAUAAACAUUUAUUUAACAAAUAUUAAUCAAAAUAUACUUCAAAGCUUCCCUAAUUUUGAGAUUGAAAUCUCUAACUAGAAUAAGGAAGUGUUUGGUAACAUCUUUAUAAAGAAGAAACACAUCCGUGCCAGACUUGAGGGGAUCAAAAAGUCCUCACACUAUCCCCACAGUCUCUUUCUUUAGACCCUUGAGUCUCAACUCUUAAAAGAGUUCAGUGAGAUCGUCUAACAAGAACAAGAAUUCUAAAGAAUCAAAUCUAGGAUAAACUGGUUGGCUGAGGGAGACUCCAAUACCAGGUUCUUUCAUACCUCUACCCUCAAUAAGAGGAGGAAGAACAACAUAUCUGCUCUUAAAGAUGAUAAUGGGAAUUGGAGCUAUUCCCAAGAGGAAAUCAGUUCUGAGAUCCUUUGAUUCUACUCUAAUCUCUUCUUCUUUGAUCACUACAGCAACCCCAUUAGAUGCCAACACAACCCCUCCUCCAAGGGAUCUAUCAGAACUGAGGACCACCAUCUUCUUGAUUUUAUUUCUUCACCCAUUGAGAUUAGGAAGGCUGUCUUCUCCUUCAAACCCACCAAGGCCCCAAGUCCAUAUGGCCUACACCCACUCUUCUACCAAAAAUUCUGGGACAUCCUGGGUCCCCCCACCAUCCAAUUAUGUAUUAAAACUUUCUAUUACAUGAAAAUAGAGAGCAAAGUCAACUCCACCUAUCUCUGCCUCAUUCCUAAAUGCUCCAAUGCCACUAGCUUGAGAAACUUUAGACCCAUUGGCAUUUUCAACACUUAGUACAAGAUAGUUACUAAAAUUAUAGCUACUAGACUCAAACCUUUCCUGGCCAACAUCAUUGCUCCUACUCAGUCUAGCUUCCUACCAAAUAGAAGGACCUCUAACAAUGCCAUCAUCAUCCAGAAGGAUAUCUCUCACUUCAAGAAAAUGAAAGGUAAAAGGGCCAACUUGAUCCUCAAGAUUGACCUUGAGAAGCUUUUGAUAGAAUUAAAUAGUCCUUUGUGAGACAAGCCCUCGACUUUUUCAAUAUUUCCCCCCCCCCCCCCCCAAAUACCCCCCCCCCCCCCCCAGGCUUACUAAUCUCAUCAUGUCUUGCAUUUCCUUCUUCUCUAUCUCCAUUCUAAUAAAUGUGAACAAAACUGAGCCUUUCAAUCCAACCAGGGGGAUAAGGCAGGGGGAUCCUCUUUCUCCUUACAUCUUCAUCAUGUGCAUGGAGUUACUGUCCAGGAGAAUUGAUCAUGAGGUGGAUAUCCUCAAUUGGAAACCCAUAGCUAUUAGCAAAAGAGGCCUAAAAAUCUCUCACCUCUUUUUUGCUGAUAAUCUUACCCUAUUUGCUAAAGCUAAUAAGGUAAAUUGCUGGACCAUCAAGAACACCUUCCAAAGCUUCAGCCAACAUUCUGGACAAAAGAUCAACCACCUCAAAUCCAAAUUCCUUUUCUCCCAAAAUAGCAACCAGAGAGAUAGAACCACCUUCUCUUCUAUCCUUAAUAUUGAGGCUAAAGAUAACUUUGGGAUACCCGAGCUUCCUCAUCUUCACUCAAAAGCCAUGUACCAAUGAUUUCCAAUUCAUUGUAGACAAUCUAAAUUCUAAGUUGGCUAGUUAGAAGACGAAUUUCCUCAACCUAGCAAGCAGAACCAUCCUCACAAAAUCCUCUCUGAGUAGCAUUCCUACCCAUGUCAUGUAAUACAUCUCCUUCCCUUCUAACAUCCACAAAUCCAUUGACCAAAUUCAAAGAAACUUUGUCUGGGGAUCAACUGUAGAGAAGAAGAAAACCCACCUUCUGAACUAGGACACCAUUACCACCCCUAAGGAUAAAGGGGGCCUAGGUCUCCAAAAGUCCAACAUCAGGAAUGAUACAGUAUUGGCCAGUCUAGCAUGGAGGCUCAAUAAAAACCCUCAGACCCUUUGGGCAAACAUUCUCUUUAGAAAAUACUACCAGGAUAGUAGAUGUCUAUCCAGCAAAAGUACCUACAGCAUGCUAGCAGGUACUUUUGAGAGUGACAACAGAACCAACUCCAUCAGUCUCAAGUGGAUCUGGAAAACAAGAAUCCCCCCUAAAAUUAAAACCUUCCUCUGGCUUAUAUACCAUAACAGACUUCCAAUAAGCCACACCCUUGCCAAGAUGAAAAUAAAAAAAUCCUCUAAUUGCAAAAGCUGCAAUUACCACACUGAAGAUAUUGACUAUAUCUUUCAUGAAUGCCCAAAGGUCCACUAUUACUGUAAAGCUGUCAUUGAUAAAAGUAUAUCUAAAAACCAGCUUAACCAAUAUCUUUUUCAUCCCUCUAACUGGGGUAAAACUUGGAAAUCUCUCCACCAUACUCCUUAUGACAAGAUCUUGGAUUGGUAGGACCUUCUACCCUUUUGACUUUGGUCGAUUUGGAGGAAUAGAAACCAAGAUACUUUCAACAACUCCAACAUCACCCGUAAUAUCUCUAACACUUACUUUGAAGCUGUGGAGUACAAAAUGACCAUAAUAAAUAAUAAUACCCUUGCUUAAUUCAAAUUCAUCAAUGUUAGGUGGGAACCCCCAACAAAAGGGAUGUUUAAACUUAACACGGAUGGUAGCUGCAUAGAGAACCUUAGAAAAGGAGGAAUAGGGGGGGGGGGCAGGUUAUCAGAUCUAGCUCUGGGGAAUGGAUUGUAGGUUUCUACAAAUCCUUCCAUAAGACUACUAACAACUACAUGGAGCUCAAAGCCCUUGUGGAGGGGCUAAAACUAGUAGAGCAAAGGAACCUGCUACCCAUUGUGAUUAAUACUGACUCUGCUGAGAUUAUCAAUAUGCUUAACACUGGAAACUUACACUAUGAUGCUUUGCUGGAUGAUUGUAGGUCAAGACUAAGAAAGUUAGGGGGACAUGUGAUAUCCCACUGUUUCAGGGAACAAAAUGGUGUGACGAAUCUUAUGGCCAAGCAGAGAAAAGCAUCAACUGACUUUGUAGAUAUCCAGAUUUUUGAAGUUCCACCUUUGUGUGCUGCACAGGAACUUUUUUUGAAAGGAGGGUUAAUGAUCGUAACAUAAACAAUGAAUCCUUCCCUUUUAGUUUCUCUAUUCUGGAUCCUGGCUAAUAUAGCAGGAUGGUUAUGGUGGUGCAUGGAAAACUCUUCCUUUUUUAAUUAAUGCAUAUCUUUUUAAUAAAAAACAUAUUUUGUAGGAGAUCAAUAUAUUGGUGAGUGAAAUUGUGAACGGAGCACGAAAUGGUUGUGCUAAUACACCGCCCGUUAAUCAUCGGAUAAUUACUAAUCCGAACCGAACCAACGGAUAUCUUAUAGGUUGCUAAUGGAUUAGUAUAUUUAAAAGUCGAUAUCUGAUAAGUCGAAUCGUUAAGUAUAUUUAUCCGUUUGAUCAGCCCGAUAAGCAGCCCUACCCCUUACCCCUCUUCACACACAUGCUUUCAUCCCCAUCCUAAUACCCCGCCUCUAAUCAAAUUUAUACAAAAAAAAUAUUAAUAGUAAAAAAAAAUUAUUUCAUAUUUUUUUGUUAUAUUAUUAAUAAUUUAAAUUUAUAACACCUCUCAAUUUCCGUACUUGAUGUACAUUUUUAAAUUAUUUUUUUUAUUACACUCAUAAGCAAUUGAGUUUUCUUAUCUCUUAUCUUAAAAUAUACAAAUUAAAAUAGAUAAUUUUGAUAUGCAUAACAAAAAAUUAAAUAAAGAUUAGAAGAGGACUCCAUAAUAAUCUAAUUUGUUAGAUUUUAUCUCCAUUUAAAACUAGUUACACUUUUUAUCUCAUAUUUAAUUUUAGUUUUUCUAUUUACUCAAAUUCAAAAAAAAUUAUAAAAUUUUUCUAAAAACUAAAAAGAAUUCCAUAAUGUAUGUAACAUUUCUUGAAUAUUAAUUUUAGAGGAAAAAGUAAAAUCAUAAAUUCAUCAAAAUAUAAGAUUUUACUUGUUAUAGUUAAGAAAACACUUUUGAAAAUUUAAUUUAUUUUACAUCAUGUUAAUUAUACCCUAAGAUAUUAUAUUAAAAAUUUACCUUUUAAGCCUAUGAUUUACUGUUGUGUGUGUUCUUUUCUUCUCUAUAUUAUGAAAUUAAAUGACACCCAAAAUCACUAAAAAAAAAAUUUAUAAAUAAAUUAAAUUUGCAAGUAAAAUUUAAAAAGGAAUAAUAAAUUAGACUAUCUAAAUGUCUAUAAAUCUGCUUUGUAAGACUCCUAAUAUAUGUGAAUGUGGUACUUAUUAGAUACAGAAAACAGACAAUCAUAAAUUCCAUACAAUUGAACUAAAUAUUAAAAAAAUAGCUAUUCAUUAAAACAACAUUGAAAAGAAAACAAUAAUAUCAAGCACAUACUUAAAAAAAACUUAAGCUUCCCAAUUAUACCAACAAAACUUCUACUUUUACAAUAAUCUAUUAUUUUCUUCUCUUCAUUCUUCUUCAUCCCUUUUGCAAGUCAACAAUAGCAAUAAAAUUAUUUCUAAAAAUUAGAAUAAACUCUCAAAAACACUUCUUCAUAAAUUAAACAAUAGAAAUGGUAUUAAUUUAAAAUCGAUUUAUCUAUAAGUCUUUUACUUAUUAAAGUCUUUGUUUCUAUUAUUAGUAAAAAAAAUUCUCCUUAUCUUCUUCAAAGUUGUUAUCAUUUAAAAUGUGAGGCGAAUUACCACAAAAAUUAGAUAGAUAUGUCAAGCCAUUCAAAGGAUACUUUUUCAUAAGAUAAAAAUCAGGCUUUAAUUAAGAAGGUAAUGAAUCAGUUAACAUAAUGCAUAUACUUUUAAGAAGAGCUUAAACCAGUGUAAAUCAUUAGGAAGACAAUAUAAUCGAUUUUACCGAUUUACAACUUGAUGAUCAAAUGUUGAUUCAAACAAGAUAAACAUCAAAGAGAUUUUAAACUGAAAUUAUUUAAGUGAAAAAUAUUUCUCAACCAAACUAGCCAAAGAAAAAGCAGUGAAAGACAUCUUGAGUGAAAUCACACAUUUUAACAAAAAGACACAUUUUAAGCAUGUGUUGAGACGUCUGAAUACACAAUAAUUCAACACCAACCUUUCUUACACAAUGAAGAAAUGUCUAAAUACGCAACAAUUCAACACCAAUAUUUUUUAAAUAAUGAAGAAAUUUAGAUGCAACUCUAUAUUAUCUAUCGGGAACAAUAGAAAUAGGAAGGCAUCCACACAGUGCGGGAGAUUUCUGCUUAAGAAAGCACAAGAUUCGACAUUACAAAUUUAACAAUCAUCCUAAAGCUAGCACUUAAGCGAACACUAUAAGAAAUAUGAAAUAGUGGAAUAUUACCUUUUUCUGGGCAGCGAAAUAGGACAACAAGUUCACGACGACUUCACCAACUUGCUUUUGAUUUGAAAAAAGACAAGGAAAAAUAAAACUUGAACCAAAAUUUUCAUAACUCCAGGUUGGGGACAGAAGUCCAAAUCCUAACCAAGUAGAGAAGUUUAGCCCUUUUUCGUUCGAAAAAAAAUCUUUAAACAAUAGAGAGAAGGAUUAAUAUGGAAAUUCAAAAAUCUCAAUUCUUGAGAAAUCGGUGAUGUGGGAUAGAGAAUGUCAAGGGUAUUUUUGAGAAUGUUGAUUGAGUACUUCAAAUUGAGGAUAAGAUUUGUUAAGCAAGUUGGAAUUGUACUGUUUUUGUAUGAAUUUGAAAUUCGAACGUUGGCUGAGCUGGACGGAUUGGGUCGGGUUUUGCUGUUGGAUUGUUGUUGUUUGAAUGUUGGUUUCUGGUGCGGGUUGGUUUUGCCAAAGCUCUUACGGUUGUACGUUUUGGUGUUGUACGACAUUUUUUGUUGUUA
rnacentral:lncRNA from 1 species